rnacentral:piRNA from 1 species
UCCUUAGAGAAAAUUCCUGUCAAUAAAGAA